CGGCGUGCUGGCCGAGCAGGGCUGGGCCACCUCGCCCGGCGCGAGAGGGGCCACCGGCGUGGUCGUCGAGGGGGUCGCCGCCGCCCGGGUCGGC
rnacentral:tRNA from 1 species